rnacentral:rRNA from 1 species
AUUGAACGCUGGCGGCAGGCCUAACACAUGCAAGUCGAGCGGAUGAAGGGAGCUUGCUCCUGGAUUCAGCGGCGGACGGGUGAGUAAUGCCUAGGAAUCUGCCUGGUAGUGGGGGAUAACGUCCGGAAACGGGCGCUAAUACCGCAUACGUCCUGAGGGAGAAAGUGGGGGAUCUUCGGACCUCACGCUAUCAGAUGAGCCUAGGUCGGAUUAGCUAGUUGGUGGGGUAAAGGCCUACCAAGGCGACGAUCCGUAACUGGUCUGAGAGGACGAUCAGUCACACUGGAACUGAGACACGGUCCAGACUCCUACGGGAGGCAGCAGUGGGGAAUAUUGGACAAUGGGCGAAAGCCUGAUCCAGCCAUGCCGCGUGCGUGAAGAAGGUCUUCGGAUUGUAAAGCACUUUAAGUUGGGAGGAAGGGCAGUAAGUUAAUACCUUGCUGUUUUGACGUUACCAACAGAAUAAGCACCGGCUAACUUCGUG